AGAAAUAAUGCUUGUCAUGAAAAAUGAGGGAGGAGGGCCUCCUCUGCCGUCGACAGCACAUUGUCCGAGGUGGCAGUGCUCUGGCCGACUCGCUGCAGGCUAGCUUGCAGGUGUGCAGGUCUCUUGCCGCGUACACAGGACUAUUGUGCAUAGGCCCUAGCGCACAGGGCCUAUCUGUGGAGGCUUGUUGCGUAGACGACACAUGCACAGUGUGCGAUGCCUUUUCGCGCGCAAGGUGAUGCUUGGACGGCCUGUUUGUGCGCGAUAGC
rnacentral:lncRNA from 1 species